ensembl:lncRNA
AUGCUAAUCCCUGCAUACAGACCGCUCAUUAAAGUCGCCAAACCAGUUCACAAACAAAUUCAAGUGUGGCCAGAAGGGUCGUCUGAGGCUCUUCAAGACUGUUUUGACACCACUGACUGGAAUAUGUUUAAACAGGCUGCCAUAUACAAUAACACCACAGACCUCCAAGAGUACUCAGAGACUGUCACUGCCUACAUCAACAAGUGUAUUGAUGAUGUAACAGUCACAAAGACCAUCACUGUCCGGGCCAACCAGAAGCCAUGGAUGACAGGGGAGGGCUACAGACUCCUGAAGACGUGGAACGCUGCCUUCAGAGCUGGAGAUGAGGUGGGCCUGAGGACAGCCAGGGCCAACCUGUCCCGCGGCAUCAGAGAGGCUAAGAGACAGUACUCCAGGAGGAUAGCCCAUCGAUUCAGCGACAGCAGAGACACUCAGGGCCUGUGGCAGGGGAUACAGACCAUUAUGGACUACAAGCCCCCACCGCGGACCUGUGACAGCACAAUCUCACUGCUGAAUGAACUGAACACCGCCUUCGCUCGCUUUGAGGCACAAAACAGCUCCACUGCACAGAAGACUCAACCUCCUCCCGGCGACCAGGUGAUGAUGCUGUCCCCGGACAGUGUGAGGAGAUCCCUCAGCAGGAUCAACCCACGCAAAGCUCCGGGUCCUGACAACAUUCCUGGGCGUGUACUGAGAGACUGUGCAGUGGAACUCACUGAUGUCUUCACAUACAUUUUUAACAUCUCGCUUAGUCAGGCUGUUGUCCCCACAUGCUUCAAAGCUACCAUCAUCAUUCCAGUCCUGAAGAAGCCAUCUCCAUCCUGCUUCAAUGACUACCGUCCAGUUGCACUUACCCCAAUUCUCAUGAAAUGCUUUGAACGGCUAGUCAUGCAACACAUCAAGUCUGCCCUCCCCCCUCCCUGGGUCCCUUCCAGUUUGCAUAUUGUCCAGACGCUGAACUCCCUCCCAACCUUGCCCCCCCCCCCUUUUCCCCGUGCACCACUGAACUCUGAACCUCAGUUCCUACCCCCCGCCCCCAGCUCCCACUGA